rnacentral:rRNA from 1 species
UUGAAAGGGAAACGAUUGAAGUCAGUCGUACCGACGAGAAAUCAACUUAUCGUGUGCGAACUUGUGGGCGUGCGUGAGUUUCGGCCUCGCUGUUUGCAUGUUUGUGCGUUUUGGGUGUACUUUUUCGUAUGAUAGGCCAACAUCAGUUUCGAUUACUAUAAAAUGACCGGCGGAAUGUAGCUUCGAUUUCGGUCGAAGUGUUAUAGCCUCUGGUAGAUGUGGUGAUUGGGACUGAGGAUUGCAACGAAUAUCCUUUGGGCUAUCCGUCUGAUCUCUGAAAGUUGCUUAGGUGCCGAAAGCGUGCUUACGGUCAUCUAAGUUGACGGUCAACAGGUUAGAACGUGAUUAUAUUCGUUAAGGAUGUUGACGUA